UACUAGUUGAGUUGCCGUGUACUGUUAUACGUGAACUAACUAGAUUUCCUGACCAAAUUUAUUGAGCUUCUAGAAUUUUCUCAUAAUUGUUGGCUGAUUUGUGUUGAGAAACCCUUAACGUCAUUGUUAAACAAGUGGAACCAUCGACACUUCUCCUGUUGUCUAAUGUAUGCAAACAAGCAUUCCUGGUCGGAGAUCCAGUUCAACUGCCGGCCACUGUGAUCUCACCUAUUGCUGGAAAAUUUGGAUAUUGCAUCAGCUUGUUUGAGAGACUUCAGAGGGUGGGAUAUCUAAUACAGAUGCUUAAGAAAGUGAUGAAGACAUUGAUCUUACUUAAGAAGAUUUUGGGAUUGUUGAUAGGUGCUCUAUUACUAAUAUUUCUGAUAUUGGAUUUGUUGAAACUUAUCGCGACUCAAACUUGAUACUAUGUAAAAACCUAACUAAUCAUUUGGGUAUUUAUUUAACAUUUUUCUUUUAAAUUUCGGUUAUAUUCCUAGUUUACUUUGUUCCACAUUUUGAAUUAUGUGAUUAUUAAUGAAUGAAUUUUGUUUAGUGAUAUGCAUAUAAUUGUUUAUUAUAAUUUAUUAUGUAAAUACAAAUUUACAAAUAACUAUUUUAUAUAAAUUGUACCAAUUGAUAUUUGAACUAGUUACAACAUGUGGCAACAAUCGUUGCAAUAGAUCAAUAAAUCAUUGCGAUAGUAUUAGAAAUUCUUGCAAUAGGUAGCCAAAAACUGUUGCAAAAGGCCAAUAAAACCAUUGCAAUAGGUAGUCAAAAAAUGUUGUAACAGAAAAAUAGAUCAUUGCAAUAGGCUCUAAAAGUAGUUGCAAUAGAUAGGAAAAAAUUGAUGCAAUAGAAUUAUAAAACUGUCGCAAUAGCUUCUAUUGCAACGGUUUAACCUCAUUAUAGUAGAAUCUAUUGCAACGGUUAUUAACCGAUGUUAUAGAUGAAAAGAGGCAUCCCAAUAAUAGAAAAAAUAACUGUUGCUAUAGGUUGGUCUAUGGGACAAUUUCUACCAACCGUUACAUCAACCAUUGUGAUAGCUCUAUUGCAACACUCACAUAUAGGACAGUUGUUUAACCAUUGCAGUUAAUCCAUGGCAAUGGUAACCAUCACCAUAGGGGUAAUUUCUAGUAGUGAACCAAGAUAUGAUGAUGAGGUUGGUAGUGAAGAGUCCUCGGUGAUUUCCCAUUUAACCAAAUCAAAUGAGUAUGAAGAUGACAAAAUAAAGGCAAUGGUACUAGAGUUGAAAGAAUAAUAAAAGCCAACCUCUUAUAACAACUCUAAUUUAUUUAGGGGUGAAGGAGCUACGAAGGAAGCAACUCCAGAAUUAGGGGUUAAUCCUCAUUCAAACCACUUCUCUAUAUUGUACUUAGAGUAUGUUAUGAGAAUUUAUCUACCUAGGCAAAUGGUUGUUUGUGAGGAGAAGGAGGAACAUUCCUACAAUUUGGUAUUUGACAUUGCAAAGGAGCACAUGGAAGCCCCACCAUCAAUGGUGAAGGACUUCAACUUCCAAUUUACAACUAGUGGCCUAUUGAUGUCCUCACCAUUGCCCAAGUAGCCAAAUCGGAUGUUCGAUGUGAAAUUGGGUAAAAAGUUUAAGUCUUCAAAAUGGCGAGAUCAAACCUCCCUUAUUAUUUCCUCGAAUCUUCCAAGUUUCAUCUUUGAUGAUCUGAAUCUUCUACCCAUCUACCACCCAUUGCAUAGUGAAUGAAAGUUGGGAUGAAAAUUUAAAUCUUCUAAGUGAAAUCACAAAAGAAAGUGGAGGAGACGUCAUGCUAAGACGUUAAACUAAGCGCUCGAUGGGAGGCACUCUAUCUAGACAAAAAAGUGGCCCAUAUCCUUUUAUUCUAUGCAUGAUAGAGUAGAUUUUAUUUUUGCAUUUAUUCAUAAAUAAUCCAUAUAAAAGUGGUGCUAGGAGAAUAUUGAUUGAAAGUGAAUAAGGGAAUGUGUGAAAUUGGUAUGUUUGGACUAAACAAAAGACUGUAGGAGACCUCAAUAUUGAUCUCAGUUACCGCAACCAUGGCCCGUACCUCCACAAUUUGGGGGCCGCAUUCUCUCGAUCAGGGAACUAGGACUGCGACUAUGGUUGAAUCAACUUAAAUGACCAUUCUACUGCCAUUUCUUCAUACAUACCUUUCUCAAAUUCUCUUAAAUUUUGGGCAUUGUAUAGAGUAUCCAAGUGUCAUUUCAAUCUAUUUCCAUUAUCAAACUUCGUAUGUUGUCUCAAUUCCCUUGUUUUUAAUGUAAUCAUAUGCUUAAAACUUGUAGUUUAAGGAAAGGUAAGAAAUAUCCUUUUUAUUACAAAAUAAAUGCUUGUUGAUGAUUAUUGUUGUGGUUAGCUAUUGUUGUUGGUGUACACAAUAAUGGGGAAAUCUUGAGUACCCAAAUUUAGGCCUUAAAUAGUUGAAUUAACGUAUACACCAUGUGUUCAAUUCAAUUCCCCAAUGAGUUCAAUGUGAAUUCCUUUGAGUUUGAGGCUAUGAUCAUGCAUCCUAGGCUUGAAUUCUCUAAUUAUGAUGUUGUUUCGCCUAGUUAGGACAUAAGGGUGGGGUUAAAAUUAUGUGUUCUGAGUGAUGUGUAGAUUGUCGACUAUGAUCUUAGGUACCGCAAUCACAGUCAUUGCUCCACGAUCGCCAUACCUUAGGGCCGUUGUCUGCAGCAGCCAAAAUUUUUGCAUACCUAUUUCCCACCCCAGAACCUUCUACAACACUACCACAUGAGUUUAUCUGAUUAAUCUAGCAUGGUUUUGGUGUGACAAUGCUAAUGAUGAUCUGGAUUGUAUUUCUUAUAGGCACUAAGCCACCAGAAUAGGAUAUUUUAACAACACCAAAUUCAUGGCCGCUCAAUUCCAAAACCUCUAAUAUACUAACUUGCCUAGGACAAAGUUGCUCCCUGAGAAAGGUAUCAUCUUGGACAUAGUGGAGGAGAAACUCCCAGGUUUCUAUGCCAGACUCACUACUACCGAAUGGAGGUGCUUUGCCUCGGAACCCUGCCAUGCUAAUAAACAGUAGGUACGUGAGUUGUACACAAACCUCAACAUAGUUUCUCACAUAAACCUAGUGAUGAAAAUAUGGGGAAAGCAAUUGAAUUUUUGAGUAGAGCAAGUCAAUGAGGUGUAUGGGCUCCCAGAUGCUGACAUGGAGUAGUUUCAUGCAAAAGCAUGUGAGCUAGGGACCUAAAUAGCUAACAUUCUUGUCCUAACAAAGAGGUUCCCUAGGCCACUACCGAGAGAGAUAUUAAUGAAUGAUUCACAGCAGAGGCCAGGCUUUGGUUGGAUAUCAUAAAUAGCAGAGUAUCACCAUGCACUCACAUAACCAUUAUCACAGACAUACAAGCUCGGAUGGU